GAACCUGAGAGUUUGAUCCUGGCUCAGAACGAACGCUGGCGGCAUGCCUAACACAUGCAAGUC
rnacentral:rRNA from 1 species